rnacentral:rRNA from 1 species
UACGGGGGGGGCAAGCGUUGUUCGGAAUUACUGGGCGUAAAGGGCUCGUAGGUGGCCAACUAAGUCAGACGUGAAAUCCCUCAGCUUAACUGGGGAACUGCGUCUGAUACUGGAUGGCUUGAGAUUGGGAGAGGGAUGCGGAAUUCCAGGUGUAGCGGUGAAAUGCGUAGAUAUCUGGAUGAACACCGGUGGCGAAGGCGGCAUCCUGGACCAACACUGACACUGAGGAGCGAAAGCCAGGGGAGCAAACGGG